UGGUGGAGCGAUUUGUCUGGUUAAUUCCGUUAACAAACGAGACCUCAGCCUGCUAACUAGCUAUGCGGAGGCAACCCUCCGUGGCCAUCUUCUUAGAGGGACUAUGGCCGCUUAGGCCACGGAAGUUUGAGGCAAUAACA
rnacentral:rRNA from 1 species